rnacentral:rRNA from 1 species
GAUGAACGCUGGCGGCGUGCCUAAUACAUACAAGUCGAGCGAAUGGAUUAAGAGCUUGCUCUUAUGAAGUUAGCGGCGGACGAGUGAGUAACACGUGGGUAACCUGCCCAUAAGACUGGGAUAACUCCGGGAAACCGGGGCUAAUACCGGAUAACAUUUUGAACCGCAUGGUUCGAAAUUGAAAGGCGGCUUCGGCUGUCACUUAUGGAUGGACCCGCGUCGCAUUAGCUAGUUGGUGAGGUAACGGCUCACCAAGGCAACGAUGCGUAGCCGACCUGAGAGGGUGAUCGGCCACACUGGGACUGAGACACGGCCCAGACUCCGACGGGAGGCAGCAGUAGGGAAUCUUCCGCAAUGGACGAAAGUCUGACGGAGCAACGCCGCGUGAGUGAUGAAGGCUUUCGGGUCGUAAAACUCUGUUGUUAGGGAAGAACAAGUGCUAGUUGAAUAAGCUGGCACCUUGACGGUACCUAACCAGAAAGCCACGGCUAACUACGUGCCAGCCGCCGCGGUAA